rnacentral:rRNA from 1 species
UUAAAGGAAUUGACGGGACCCGCACAAGCGGUGGAUGAUGUGGUUAAUUCGAUGCAACGCGAAAACCUUACCCACCUUUGACAUGUACGGAACUCGCCAGAGAUGGCUUGGUGCUCGAAAGAGAACCGUAACACAGGUGCUGCAUGGCUGUCGUCAGCUCGUGUCGUGAGAUGUUGGGUUAAGUCCCGCAACGAGCGCAACCCUUGUCAUUAGUUGCUACAUUUAGUUGGGCGACUCUAAUGAGACUGCCGGUGACAAACCGGAGGAAGGUGGGGAUGACGUCAAGUCCUCAUGGCCCUUAUGGGUAGGGCUUCACACGUCAUACAAUGGUCGGUACAGAGGGUUGCCAACCCGCGAGGGGGAGCUAAUCCCACAAAGCCAGUCGUAGUCCGGAUCGCAGUCUGCAACUCGACUGCGUGAAGUCGGAAUCGCUAGUAAUCGUGGAUCAGCAUGUCACGGUGAAUACGUUCCCGGGUCUU